rnacentral:rRNA from 1 species
CCUACGGGAUGCAGCAGUGAGGAAUAUUGGUCAAUGGACGAGAGUCUGAACCAGCCAAGUAGCGUGAAGGAUGACUGCCCUAUGGGUUGUAAACUUCUUUUAUAUGGGAAUAAAAUGUUCCACGUGUGGGAUUUUGUAUGUACCAUAUGAAUAAUGAUCGGCUAACUCCGUGCCAGCAGCCGCGGUAAUACGGAGGAUACGCGCGUUAUCCGGAUUUAUUGGGUUUAAAGGGAGCGUAGGUGGAUUGUUAAGUCAGUUGUGAAAGUUUGCGGCUCAACCGUACAAUUUCAGUUGAAACUGGCAGUCUUGAGUACAGUAGAGGUGGGCGGAAUUCGUGGUGUAGCGGUGAAAUGCUUAGAUAUCACGAAGAACUCCGAUUGCGAAGGCAGUUCACUGGACUGCAACUGACACUGAGGCUCGAAAGUGUGGGUAUCAAACAGGAUUAGAGACCCGUGUAGUC